rnacentral:rRNA from 1 species
GGUUAAGCGACUAAGCGUACACGGUGGAUGCCCUGGCAGUCAGAGGCGAUGAAGGACGUGCUAAUCUGCGAUAAGCGUCGGUAAGGUGAUAUGAACCGUUAUAACCGGCGAUUUCCGAAUGGGGAAACCCAGUGUGAUUCGUCACACUAUCAUUAACUGAAUCCAUAGGUUAAUGAGGCGAACCGGGGGAACUGAAACAUCUAAGUACCCCGAGGAAAAGAAAUCAACCGAGAUUCCCCCAGUAGCGGCGAGCGAACGGGGAGCAGCCCAGAGCCUGAAUCAGUGUGUGUGUUAGUGGAAGCGUCUGGAAAGGCGCGCGAUACAGGGUGACAGCCCCGUACACAAAAAUGCACAUGCUGUGAGCUCGAUGAGUAGGGCGGGACACGUGGUAUCCUGUCUGAAUAUGGGGGGACCAUCCUCCAAGGCUAAAUACUCCUGACUGACCGAUAGUGAACCAGUACCGUGAGGGAAAGGCGAAAAGAACCCCGGCGAGGGGAGUGAAAAAGAACCUGAAACCGUGUACGUACAAGCAGUGGGAGCACGCUUAGGCGUGUGACUGCGUACCUUUUGUAUAAUGGGUCAGCGACUUAUAUUCUGUAGCAAGGUUAACCGAAUAGGGGAGCCGAAGGGAAACCGAGUCUUAACUGGGCGUUAAGUUGCAGGGUAUAGACCCGAAACCCGGUGAUCUAGCCAUGGGCAGGUUGAAGGUUGGGUAACACUAACUGGAGGACCGAACCGACUAAUGUUGAAAAAUUAGCGGAUGACUUGUGGCUGGGGGUGAAAGGCCAAUCAAACCGGGAGAUAGCUGGUUCUCCCCGAAAGCUAUUUAGGUAGCGCCUCGUGAAUUCAUCUCCGGGGGUAGAGCACUGUUUCGGCAAGGGGGUCAUCCCGACUUACCAACCCGAUGCAAACUGCGAAUACCGGAGAAUGUUAUCACGGGAGACACACGGCGGGUGCUAACGUCCGUCGUGAAGAGGGAAACAACCCAGACCGCCAGCUAAGGUCCCAAAGUCAUGGUUAAGUGGGAAACGAUGUGGGAAGGCCCAGACAGCCAGGAUGUUGGCUUAGAAGCAGCCAUCAUUUAAAGAAAGCGUAAUAGCUCACUGGUCGAGUCGGCCUGCGCGGAAGAUGUAACGGGGCUAAACCAUGCACCGAAGCUGCGGCAGCGACGCUUAUGCGUUGUUGGGUAGGGGAGCGUUCUGUAAGCCUGCGAAGGUGUGCUGUGAGGCAUGCUGGAGGUAUCAGAAGUGCGAAUGCUGACAUAAGUAACGAUAAAGCGGGUGAAAAGCCCGCUCGCCGGAAGACCAAGGGUUCCUGUCCAACGUUAAUCGGGGCAGGGUGAGUCGACCCCUAAGGCGAGGCCGAAAGGCGUAGUCGAUGGGAAACAGGUUAAUAUUCCUGUACUUGGUGUUACUGCGAAGGGGGGACGGAGAAGGCUAUGUUGGCCGGGCGACGGUUGUCCCGGUUUAAGCGUGUAGGCUGGUUUUCCAGGCAAAUCCGGAAAAUCAAGGCUGAGGCGUGAUGACGAGGCACUACGGUGCUGAAGCAACAAAUGCCCUGCUUCCAGGAAAAGCCUCUAAGCAUCAGGUAACAUCAAAUCGUACCCCAAACCGACACAGGUGGUCAGGUAGAGAAUACCAAGGCGCUUGAGAGAACUCGGGUGAAGGAACUAGGCAAAAUGGUGCCGUAACUUCGGGAGAAGGCACGCUGAUAUGUAGGUGAAGCGACUUGCUCGUGGAGCUGAAAUCAGUCGAAGAUACCAGCUGGCUGCAACUGUUUAUUAAAAACACAGCACUGUGCAAACACGAAAGUGGACGUAUACGGUGUGACGCCUGCCCGGUGCCGGAAGGUUAAUUGAUGGGGUCAGCGCAAGCGAAGCUCUUGAUCGAAGCCCCGGUAAACGGCGGCCGUAACUAUAACGGUCCUAAGGUAGCGAAAUUCCUUGUCGGGUAAGUUCCGACCUGCACGAAUGGCGUAAUGAUGGCCAGGCUGUCUCCACCCGAGACUCAGUGAAAUUGAACUCGCUGUGAAGAUGCAGUGUACCCGCGGCAAGACGGAAAGACCCCGUGAACCUUUACUAUAGCUUGACACUGAACAUUGAGCCUUGAUGUGUAGGAUAGGUGGGAGGCUUUGAAGUGUGGACGCCAGUCUGCAUGGAGCCGACCUUGAAAUACCACCCUUUAAUGUUUGAUGUUCUAACGUUGACCCGUGAUCCGGGUUGCGGACAGUGUCUGGUGGGUAGUUUGACUGGGGCGGUCUCCUCCUAAAGAGUAACGGAGGAGCACGAAGGUUGGCUAAUCCUGGUCGGACAUCAGGAGGUUAGUGCAAUGGCAUAAGCCAGCUUGACUGCGAGCGUGACGGCGCGAGCAGGUGCGAAAGCAGGUCAUAGUGAUCCGGUGGUUCUGAAUGGAAGGGCCAUCGCUCAACGGAUAAAAGGUACUCCGGGGAUAACAGGCUGAUACCGCCCAAGAGUUCAUAUCGACGGCGGUGUUUGGCACCUCGAUGUCGGCUCAUCACAUCCUGGGGCUGAAGUAGGUCCCAAGGGUAUGGCUGUUCGCCAUUUAAAGUGGUACGCGAGCUGGGUUUAGAACGUCGUGAGACAGUUCGGUCCCUAUCUGCCGUGGGCGCUGGAGAACUGAGGGGGGCUGCUCCUAGUACGAGAGGACCGGAGUGGACGCAUCACUGGUGUUCGGGUUGUCAUGCCAAUGGCACUGCCCGGUAGCUAAAUGCGGAAGAGAUAAGUGCUGAAAGCAUCUAAGCACGAAACUUGCCCCGAGAUGAGUUCUCCCUGACUCCUUGAGAGUCCUGAAGGAACGUUGAAGACGACGACGUUGAUAGGCCGGGUGUGUAAGCGCAGCGAUGCGUUGAGCUAACCGGUACUAAUGAACCGUGAGGCUUAACCUU